AGGUGCGAUCAUACCAUUGUUAAUGCACCGGAUCCCAUCAGAACUCUGUAGUUAAGUGCGCUUGAGCUAGAGUAGUACUGGGAUGGGUGACGUCCCUGGAAGUCCUAGUAUUUCACCCU
rnacentral:rRNA from 1 species